rnacentral:misc_RNA from 1 species
GUUAGUUUUCUUACUCUUUUUCUUAUAGUCAAUAGCUGAAUUAUCUAUUGAUCUCUGGUGAGUUUUGGCUAUAAUCCUGAUGUGUUUGUAUUGUCAUUUUCUUUUUAAUUUCGUGUUACUGUUUAACUUCAUCUGAAUUAUGCAAGGAUUUUGUUAGAUUCGUAUUUCAUUUACUGAUUUAUUGUUGGUUCGUGGAUUUGUAACUGAAAGAUUGGUUUUUUCUGAUGCAGGUUUUUUUUUUUUUUUUUU